rnacentral:rRNA from 1 species
AACGCUAGCUACAGGCUUAACACAUGCAAGUCGAGGGGCAGCAUGAACUUAGCUUGCUAAGUUUGAUGGCGACCGGCGCACGGGUGAGUAACGCGUAUCCAACCUUCCGUACACUCAGGAAUAGCCUUUCGAAAGAAAGAUUAAUACCUGAUGGUAUGAUGAGAUUGCAUGAAAUCAUCAUUAAAGAUUCAUCGGUGUACGAUGGGGAUGCGUUCCAUUAGAUAGUAGGCGGGGUAACGGCCCACCAAGUCUACGAUGGAUAGGGGUUCUGAGAGGAAGGUCCCCCACAUUGGAACUGAGACACGGUCCAAACUCCUACGGGAGGCAGCAGUGAGGAAUAUUGGUCAAUGGGCGCGAGCCUGAACCAGCCAAGUAGCGUGAAGGAUGAAGGUCCUACGGAUUGUAAACUUCUUUUAUAAGGGAAUAAAGUCACCCACGUGUGGGUGUUUGUAUGUACCUUAUGAAUAAGCAUCGGCUAACUCCGUGCCAGCAGCCGCGGUAAUACGGAGGAUGCGAGCGUUAUCCGGAUUUAUUGGGUUUAAAGGGAGCGUAGACGGGUCGUUAAGUCAGCUGUGAAAGUUUGAGGCUCAACCUUAAAAUUGCAGUUGAUACUGGCGUCCUUGAGUACGGUUGAGGCAGGCGGAAUUCGUGGUGUAGCGGUGAAAUGCUUAGAUAUCACGAAGAACUCCGAUUG